rnacentral:rRNA from 1 species
CAAUACGAAGCCUUUGGUUUUGUAAUUGAAUUGAGAACAAUGUACAAUCGUUAUCGAUAAACAAUUGGAGGGCAAGUCUGGUGCCAGCAGCCGCGGUAAUUCCAGCUCCAAUAGCGUAUAUUAACGUUGUUGCAGUUAAAAAGCUCGUAGUUGAAGUUUAGAUAAUUUGUAGGGGGUGGAAAUAUUCGUAUUUCCUGCCCUUUGCAGAUUAUCGACUUCCAGGUAAGCUGAAUAAUCCCUCCGGGGACUAUUAAGCGAGACUGGUCUUUUACUGUGAGAAAAUUAGAGUGUUUAAAGCAAACUUCAUAUGUUUGAAUAGAUUAGCAUGGAAUAAUAAGAUUGGCUUUCAUAGUCGAUUUUUUGGUUUGUUUAUGAAAGCAAGAUUAAUAGGGACAGUUGGGGGUAUUCAUAUUCAAUAGCUAGAGGUGAAAUUCUAUGAUUUAUGGAAGAUGAAC